rnacentral:lncRNA from 1 species
AUGGAUCAUUGUUAUUCUAACUUCCGCGACGCAUAUAAAGCCCUCCCCCGCCCUCCUUUUGGAAAAUCUGACCACGACUCCAUUUUGUUGCUCCCAGCCUAUAGACAGAAACUAAAACAGGAAGCGCACAUGCUCAGGUCUGUUCAACGCUGGUCUGACCAAUUGGAUUCCACGCUUCAAGAUUGCUUCGAUAAUAAUAUUGAUGAAUACGCUGAUUCAGUGAGCAAGUUUAUUACCAAGUGCAUUGGUGAUGUUGUACUCACAGCGUCUAUUAAAACAUUCCCCAACCAGAAACUGUGGAUAGAUGGCAGCAUUCACGCAAAACUGAAAGCGCGAACCACUGCUUUUAAUCAGGGCAAGGUGACCGGAAACAUGACCGAAUACAAACAGUGUAGAAAUUCCCUCCACAAGGCAAUCAAACAAGCUAAGCAUCAGUAUAGAGACAAAGUAGAGUCGCAAUUUAACGUCUCAGACAUGAGAGGUAUGUGGCAGGGUCUACAGUCAAUCACGGACUACAAAAGGAAAACCAGCCCCGUCGCGGACCACGAUGUCUUGCUCCCAGACAAACUAAACAACUUCUUUGCUCACUUAGAGGACAACACAGUGCCACUGACACGGCCCGCUACCAAAACCUGCGGGCUCUUCUUCACUGCAGCCAAUGCGAGUAAAACAUUUAAACGUGUUAACCCUCACAAGGCUGCAGGCCCAGACGGCAUCCCCGCCCGCGUCCUCAGAGUAUGCGCAGACCAGCUGGCUGGUGUGUUUACGGACAUAUUCAAUCAACCCUUAUCCCAGUCUGCUGUUCCCACAUGCUUCAAGAUGGCCACCAUUGUUCCUGUUCCCAAGAAAGUGAAGGUAACUGAGCUAAAUGACUAUCGCCCCGUAGCACCCACUUCCAUCAUCAUGAAGUGCUUUGAGAGACUAGUCAAGGACCAUAUCACCUCCACCCUACCUGACACCCUAGACCCACCCCAGACGACGCAAUCGCAAUCACACUGCACACUGCCCUAA